UGUCCUCUCCAUGAUAUAAUUGUUCUAAUCUGCUAAAAAAGAAGGCAAUCUGAAAAAGCCAAGAACACAGAACACCGUUCUUCUUCUUUUCUUCCCUUGUCUCGUCUAGGAUAGUUGACUUCCGUAACGUUUCUUUUCAACAGCCUCUUUCAGCUUCCUGCCUCUGCUGUGUUUGCACCUCUGGAUGGGGCAGGAGUUGAACUGUGGAAUCUGGCAGAGGCCAGCUUUAAUGUGGGAUUUGUCCUGAAUAAAAUACUUGCAGAAGGAAAAGAACUGGCAUACACGGUGCUCAAACUGAUAACCUAAUC
rnacentral:lncRNA from 1 species